rnacentral:rRNA from 1 species
UACGAAGGGGGCUAGCGUUGCUCGGAAUCACUGGGCGUAAAGCGCGCGUAGGCGGAUUGUUAAGUCAGGGGUGAAAUCCUGGAGCUCAACUCCAGAACUGCCUUUGAUACUGGCGAUCUUGAGUCCGGGAGAGGUGAGUGGAACUCCGAGUGUAGAGGUGAAAUUCGUAGAUAUUCGGAAGAACACCAGUGGCGAAGGCGGCUCACUGGCCCGGUACUGACGCUGAGGUGCGAAAGCGUGGGAGCAAACAGG